rnacentral:ncRNA from 1 species
AAAGAGUGCUUGAAAUUGCCGAGAGGGAAGUGGAUGGAGGCCAGCGAUGCAUCUCGGUCGGAUGCGGAACGACUCAAGCUGGUCCACCGCUCGACUCGAGGUGCGAACCAGCACAGGCCGUUGCAUCGACACAAGCGCGGGUGGAGUACUACCUGUUGGUUUGCCAUUGUGGCGGUCGAGGAAUGAAGCAUGCACCCUUGGGGCGGGCCACUGUGCACCUGCACGCUCGUGGUGUUGGUUGGCAAGCUUUCCAUUCGACCCGUCUUGAAACACGGACCAAGGAGUCUAACAUGUGUGCAAGUCGGUGGGUUUGUAAACCUGCGAGGCGUAAGGAAGCUGACGGGAGAGAAACCCUCUCCAUGGGGUGCAUUGCCGACCAACCUUGAGCUUGUUGCAGAGAAUAUAUUAAUUGGAUUGAGAAAGAGAGCUUCUCACAGUGAGAAGAUGGCAUCGGAAGAAGGGCUUUCUCAGGAUGAGAAAGAGUUCCGGAAAACUUUCCUUGCUAUGUCGGAGAUGGUGAAAGUUUUGUACAAGGAUUACUUGGAACGAAAGAGACCAGUUUUGGGUGAAUCUUCAAAGGGAAAAAGUGAAGAGGAAGAGGAUUAUCCUCAGAUUCCUCCUUCACCUCCAUCAUCACCUCCUUCUUCUCCUUCUUCUUCAAGUUCAAGUUCUAAAUCUAAUGGAAAGAAACAUGUUUAUAAGCAUAAGAAUGAAAUGCCAUUGUUAAAACUUGAUGUUAAACUUGAGUUGCCCAUAUAUGAUGGUGAAGUAAAUGCAGAGAAACUUGACAAUUGGAUCAGGCAGAUGGAGGUUUACUGCAGUGUACAACAAAUCAAGGAUGAGGCACACAAAUCAAGUUGGCAUCUUUGAGACUUGCAGGUACAUCUCUCAUCUGGUGGCAAAGCAAGUUGCAAAAUGGAACGCAACAAGUGGGUAAUGUAUUUCCAUCAUACAAGAGCUUCAUUUCUGCACUUAGGAAACAAUUAUAUCCUUUGGGUUAUAAAUAAAAAGCAUUAAUUGAAUGGCAAUCUUUAAAACUAAGAAAAGGACAAACAGUGCAAGAAUAC